rnacentral:rRNA from 1 species
GACGAACGCUGGCGGCGUGCUUAACACAUGCAAGUCGAGCGGAAAGGCCUCUUCGGGUGCUCGAGCGGCGAACGGGUGAGUAACACGUGAGUAAUCUGCCCUGUGCUCUGGGAUAGCCACCGGAAACGGUGAUUAAUACCGGAUACAACCACUAUCCGCAUGGGUUGGUGGUGGAAAGUUUUUUCGGCACAGGAUGUGCCCGCGGCCUAUCAGCUUGUUGGUGAGGUAAUGGCUCACCAAGGCUUUGACGGGUAGCCGGCCUGAGAGGGUGACCGGUCACACUGGGACUGAGACACGGCCCAGACUCCUACGGGAGGCAGCAGUGGGGAAUAUUGGACAAUGGGCGGAAGCCUGAUCCAGCAACGCCGCGUGAGGGAUGACGGCCUUCGGGUUGUAAACCUCUUUCAGUACCGACGAAGCGCAAGUGACGGUAGGUACAGAAGAAGGACCGGCCAACUACGUGCCAGUCGCCGCAGUAACAC